rnacentral:rRNA from 1 species
UAGGAGGCAGCAGUGAGGAAUAUUGCGCAAUGGGGGAAACCCUGACGCAGCGACGCCGCGUGGGCGACGAAGGCCUUCGGGUCGUAAAGCCCUUUUGGCAGGGACGAGUGAGGACGGUACCUGCUGAAUAAGUCUCGGCUAACUACGUGCCAGCAGCCGCGGUAAAACGUAGGAGGCGAGCGUUAUCCGGAUUCACUGGGCGUAAAGCGCGCGUAGGCGGUUGGUUAAGUCGGACGUGAAAGCCCCUGGCUCAACUGGGGGAGGCCGUUCGAUACUGGUCGGCUUGAGGGUGAGAGAGGAGAGUGGAAUUCCCGGUGUAGCGGUGGAAUGCGUAGAGAUCGGGAGGAACACCAGUGGCGAAGGCGACUCUCUGGCUCACUCCUGACGCUGAUAGCGCGAAAGCGUGGGGAGCAAACGGGAUUAGAUACCCUGGUAC